GUCUAUUUGAAGUUAUAGAUAGUCUAACCUGCUCACUGACGGAGAAAGUUUAAGAGCCGCGGUAUUCUGACCGUGCAAAGGUAGCAUAAUCAUUAGUUUCUUAAUUAGAAACUUGUAUGAAGGGUUGAACAAAAGAAGAGCUGUCUCUGAUGUAGAAGUAGAAUUUAACUUUUAAGUGAAAAGGCUUAAAUUGUUCAAGGGGACGAUAAGACCCUAUAAAGCUUUAUAUUGUUAGCUGUGAUUUAAUUAAAUUAAGAAAAAAUAAAGGUUUUAAUAGGCUAUUAUAUUUUAUUGGGGAGGUAUAAGUAUAAUUUUUAUGUAACUGCUUAUAGUUAAAUACAUUAAUAAUUGGUUUGAUUUUCAAUGAUCCUUUGAUAAAGAUUAAAGACCAAGUUACUUUAGGGAUAACAGCGUUAUUUUUUUUGAGAGUUCAUAUCGAAAAAAAAGUUUGCGACCUCGAUGUUGAAUUAAAUUAUCUUCACAGUGCAGCCGUUGUGAGAGAGGGUCUGUUCGAC
rnacentral:rRNA from 1 species